GUGACCUACGGGGGGCAGCAGUGAGGAAUAUUGGUCAAUGGGCGCGAGCCUGAACCAGCCAAGUAGCGUGAAGGAUGACUGCCCUACGGGUUGUAAACUUCUUUUAUAAAGGAAUAAAGUGAGGCACGUGUGCCUUUUUGUAUGUACUUUAUGAAAAAGCAUCGGCUAACUCCGUGCCAGCAGCCGCGGUAAUACGGAGGAUGCGAGCGUUAUCCGGAUUUAUUGGGUUUAAAGGGUGCGCAGGCGGAGGUGCAAGUCAGCGGUCAAAUUGCGGGGCUCAACCCCGUACUGCCGUUGAAACUGCA
rnacentral:rRNA from 1 species